rnacentral:misc_RNA from 1 species
AACGCACGAGACCUGCGGACCUGCGGAAGGAUCAUUAUAGAGUUUUUAACUCCCAAACCCAUGUGAACUUACCUUUGUUGCCUCGGCGGAGCCUACCCGGUACCUACCCUGUAGCGCCCCGCCGGUGGACUUCUAAACUAUUGUUAUUUUAAUGAUAUCUGAGAGUCUUAUUUUAAUAAGUCAAAACUUUCAACAAUGGAUCUCU